AUGGAUCCAGCCGAGGGCCGAAGGAUACUGGUGGCCGUGGACGAGGGCGACGAGAGCGUCCACGCGCUGCGAUGGUGCCUCACCAACUUCGCCGCGCGCGGCGACGGCGAGCUUGCCCCACCGGACACCAUCCUCCUGCUCUACGUCCGGCCCACGCCGCCCACCUACUCCGUGCUCGACGCCUCCGCCCCGCUAGGCUAUAUGUUUGCCAAUGAGGCGACCGCCGCGAUCGACGGGUACAGCCGGGCGGUGGCGGACGCGGUGGUGGACAAGGCGCAGAAGCUCUGCGCGCUCCACAGCAAAGAGAACGGCAAGGUGAAGGUGGAUGUGAAGGUGGCGGUUGGGGACGCCCGGAGCGUCAUCUGCGACAUGGUGGACAAGCUCGGAGCCGACCUGCUGGUGAUGGGGAGCCAUGGCUAUGGCUUUCUCAAGAGGGCUCUCCUCGGGAGUGUCAGCGAUUACUGCGUCAGGAACGCCAACUGCCCCGUUCUCAUCGUCAAGUCGAAAUAA
rnacentral:rRNA from 1 species